rnacentral:rRNA from 1 species
GGCUGCAACUCGCCUACAUGAAGUUGGAAUCGCUAGUAAUCGCGAAUCAGAAUGUCGCGGUGAAUACGUUCCCGGGUCUUGUACACACCGCCCGUCCACACCACGAGAGUUUACAACACCCGAAGUCAGUGGCCUAACCGCAAGGAGGGAGCUGCCUAAGGUGGGGUAGAUGAUUGGGGUGAAGUCGUAACAAGGUAGC